AAGACCCUUCAGCUGCAAACAACAGCUUCCUUGGUAGUGUAUACAGCCUGUUUCUUGUAUGGGCUGCUCUAAGGGACCAUGGAGACAGGC
rnacentral:snoRNA from 2 species